rnacentral:pre_miRNA from 1 species
UGGAAGACUAGUGAUUUUGUUGUUUGAUAAUAUAUAUAACAAUAAAUCACUAAUCUCCCUA